ensembl:lncRNA
GCUAGUCCCGUGUGUGUAUCUCGCCAUCCACGCCCACGCACUCGCUGUUGUUGACAGUGCCUGGCGUUCUUUCCUACAUUUACCUCAGUGACUGUAAUCUCAGAGAGCGCGUCAGCGUACCGGCUAGUGCGUCAUAAGAGGAAGCAUCACCUCACGGCGAGUGCACAGCCGUCGCGCGGCAAACGGAACACAGCACUGCCAUCUAUCUCAUGCUGCUGCUCUAAACAAAUCCCUGUCUCUAAUCCUCAAAUGCAACCAUUUACAUUCCCUUUCAAGGUCCGACAACAAAGGAAUGCUACACUAAGGCGGCUCGAGGUCACAUCUGACAUUGGCUAUCUCCCAUUUCUCGUCACCAUCUAUCAGUGGCCACAUGACACAGCAGUAUCUCCAAGCAACGUACAGUGAAUUCAGCAAAAGUUGCAGUGGACAGCACUAAAAGUGCAGUGCUGUGAAACGAUUGAAUAUUUCCAGUCACCUGAUGCAAAGCCAGCUCCAUUCAUCCAAAUGUCAUCACUGCCAAGUUUAGAAAUUUCCCUUCCGUUUCAUCGUAGACAGUCGCAGACAAAGGGACUGAAAUGUCAAUCGAGCCAGAGUGAUCAGUAGAUACAGGACAUAUCAGCUUGUGUCUUCAUGGACCAUUUCCCGUAGGGAGUUCAACGCGGGAUUCACAAAGCGAUUUCUGUUGAAAGAUGGAUCAGUAUCCUGUUUAUUUGGACCAGCUGCUCCACUGAAUCACAACCCAAUGUCACAUCUGUCUCCAUGGCUGCGGAAAGCUCAUCUCUCCUAUGCUGAUCCGAGACCAGCCUCUCUAGAUGAACCCAAACAAGAGCCAUUGUGAAGGUAAUCUCAAAACCAGUCUGAGAUCAGGGUGAGAGAGUGACUUCCACCAAUACCAUCUCCAUAGCAGUAGAAAAAGGAUCAGCACAAGAAAGACCCUUGUCCUCGCAUAAAAAAAACUAGACUUCUUCGCAGAGCAAAAACAAACACUCCCACCCUUUCAACGAGGCAUUGAGGCACAGAUUAUGAGGCAGUGCACAAGACAAACCAUGUUCCACGAACAGACAAUAACUCAGAGACCACCCUGAGGACAUUUACACUCGGGAGCCCCUGACGAGGCUUCUUUGUCGUGUUUACUCAAACCCAAACUCAAC